AUCCUUGUAAUUUAACGGAUAAUGAAUUGGACUUCUUAUCCAAGGUGUGAGUUCGAAUCCCACUUGGGAUG